UACAGACGGUCCAAACGUUAUUCGGAAUCACUGGGCUUAAAGAGUUCGUAGGCGGUCCAGAAAGUGGGGUGUGAAAGCCCUCGGCUUAACCGAGGAAUUGCGCUCCAAACUACUGGACUUGAGGAGGCUAGAGGUAAGCGGAACUGAUGGUGGAGCGGUGAAAUGCGUUGAUAUCAUCAGGAACACCGGAGGCGAAGGCGGCUUACUGGGGCCUAUCUGACGCUGAGGAACGAAAGCCAGGGGAGCGAACGGG
rnacentral:rRNA from 1 species